ACCCCAAAACGGGGUGGGGACCCCAAACCGGGGCCGGGGACCCCAAACCGGGGCCGGGGCCCCCCCAAUCCCCUCCGCGGUGCCCCCCCCCCCAGCUGUGACGUCACUCGCCAUCGCGGGGUCCCCGCUCGCCCCCGAGCCCCGGGACCCCCAAAUUGGGGGCGGCUCCAGCCCCGAGAGCGGCUCCGACAGCGCCGCCCCCCGCGGGGCGCCCCCAGGGCCCCUCUCCGAUGGCCCCGCCCAGUCCAGCGAGUCCGAGGAGGGUCUCUGACGCCGCCGCUCCCGAUGGAUUCUCCCGCGGGACCUUCCACGAGAGUCCCCAAAUGUCCCUUGAUGUCCCCAAGUGUCCCCCCGUGUCCCCAAAUGUCCCCAGUCUGUCUCCCCCGAUGUCCCCAAGUGUCCCCGGGCUGGGGGGCCCUGGGGGUGGCCGGACCCCCCCGUGUGUCCCGGGGGGGCCCCAACCCCAAAUAAAAACCUGCAGAGCCACCGGAGGGACACUGGGGGGAUUGGGGGGGACAUUGGGGGGACAUUGGGGACAUUGGGGACAUUGGGGACACUGGGGACA
rnacentral:lncRNA from 1 species